UUGAUAGAAAUUUCACAUCCCACAACCAAAAAAACUGAAAGAAAUUUCUUUGAUAUUUCUUAUAUUAGCUCUCUCUCUCUCUCUUUCUCUCUCUAGUAUAUAAAAAGCACUGAGUUUUUGCUGACAAACCGAAAGCAGAAAGCCAAAAAGGAACAGUCCUAAAAACUCCAAAGAAAAACUACCCAAUUAAGGAACAUAAGGAACAAAAAAAGCAUUCACUUUGGUAAAAAUCUCAAAAUGUCGAAGAUGGAGGUUAAGGCAUGUAAUGAGAAAGGAAGAAGAAAGAGGUACUGAUACAUAUGUAGGCUAAAACUUGCUCAAGGAACUAGGAAUCAGGAUUGAGCAAGUUUUGCGGGGAAAGCAUUGAAGAAAAAGACUUGAAAAAGUACAAAUCUAAAGCCAAAAAGCUCAAGAACCGAACAUAAGAGGAGAAUUUGACAGCAGAGAGUGAAUCUUGCACACAAAUGGGGGGGUAUGGGUAUAUUAUCUUGUACAAUGUUUUUGUCUGUGUAGAAUUUGGUUGGAAAGGUAGCUCACAUGGGCUUGCAAAACCGUGUGUGUUCUUUAAUCAGAGGAUAUAAAUAAGGGAGUGACAGAAAAAGGG
rnacentral:lncRNA from 1 species